AGCUUAGUAGCGGCGAGUGAAGCGGCAAAAGCUCAAAUUUGAAAUCUGGCACUUUCAGUGUCCGAGUUGUAAUUUGAAGAAGGUAUCUUUGGGUCUGGCUCUUGUCUAUGUUUCUUGGAACAGAACGUCACAGAGGGUGAGAAUCCCGUGCGAUGAGAUGUCCCAGACCUAUGUAAAGUUCCUUCGAAGAGUCGAGUUGUUUGGGAAUGCAGCUCUAAGUGGGUGGUAAAUUCCAUCUAAAGCUAAAUAUUGGCGAGAGACCGAUAGCGAACAAGUACAGUGAUGGAAAGAUGAAAAGAACUUUGAAAAGAGAGUGAAAAAGUACGUGAAAUUGUUGAAAGGGAAGGGCUUGAGAUCAGACUUGGUAUUUUGUAUGUUACUCUCUCGGGGGUGGCCUCUACAGUUUACCGGGCCAGCAUCAGUUUGGGCGGUAGGACAAUUGCAAAGAAAUGUGGCACUGCCUCGGUAGUGUGUUAUAGUCUUUGUCGAUACUGCCAGCCUAGACUGAGGACUGCGGCUUCGGCCUAGGAUGUUGGCAUAAUGAUCUUAAGUCGCCCGUCUU
rnacentral:rRNA from 1 species